CCUUAUCACUUUUCCAGCCCAGCUUUAUGACUGUAAGUGUUGGACGGAGAACUGAUAAGGGU
rnacentral:pre_miRNA from 1 species